AAAUUUCAUUUUUCUCCCAUUUUAUCCCGUUUUAUCUGAUUUUUAUCCCGUUUUCUCCCAGAAAUUCCCGGUUUUCUCCCAGAAAUUCCCUUUUUUCUCCCAUAAAUUCCCAUUUUUCUCCCAGAAUUUCCCAUUUUUCUCCCAGAAAAUUUCAUUUUUCUCCCAGAAAUUCCCAUUUUUAUCCCGUUUUCUCCCAGAAUUUCUCAUUUUUCUCCCAGAAAUUCCCGGUUUUCUCCCAUAAAUUCCCAUUUUUAUCCCAUUUUUCUCCCAGAAAUGCCCAUUUUUCUCCCAGAAAUUCCCAUUUUUCUCCCAGAAAUGCCCAUUUUUCUCCCAGAAAUGCCCAUUUUUCUCCCAGAAAUGCCCGUUUUUCUCCCAGAAAUUCCCGUUUUCCUCCCAGAAAUGCCCGUUUUCCUCCCAGAAAUUCCCAUUUUUCUCCCAGAAAUUCGCAUUUUUCUCCCAGAAAUUCCCAUUUUCCUCCCAGAAAUGCCCGGUUUUCUCCCAGAAAUUCCCGGUUUUCUCCCAGAAAUUCCCAUUUUUAUCCCAUUUUUCUCCCAGAAAUGCCCAUUUUUCUCCCAGAAAUUCCCAUUUUUAUCCAGUUUUUCUCCCAGAAAUCCCCAUUUUUAUCCCGUUUUCUCCCAGAAAUUCCCAUUUUUAUCCUGUUUUCUCCCAGAAAUUCCCGUUUUCCUCCCAGAAAUUCCCGGUUUUCUCCCAGACAUUCCCAUUUUUAUCCCGUUUUUCUCCCGGAAAUGCCCGUUUUCCUCCCGGAAAUGCCCGUUUUCCUCACGGAAGUUCCCGUUUUUCUCCGUGUUUCCGCAGCCCCAGCCGGGCCCUGUGGCGGGCGCUGGGCUCGGAGCCGUCGCUGGCCCCGCUGAUCCUGGAGCAGCUCCUGGAGCGGCUGAGCCGGGAAAUUCCCUUCCAGGAGAGCCGAUCCCGGCGCGUGGCCACCGCCCUGCCCCUGGCCGUGAGUGCCCCGGAAUUCCCAAAGAAUUCCCAAAGAAAUCCCCCAAAAAAUCCCUCGAAAAAUUCCCAUGGAUUUCCUCAAAAAACUCCCGUGGAAUUCCCAAAAUUCCCAAAGAAUUCCCAAAAAAAUNNNNNNNNNNAAACUCCCGUGGAAUUCCCAAAAUUCCCAAAGAAUUCCCAAAAAAAUCCCUCGAAAAAUUUCCAUGGAUUUCCUCAACAAACUCCCGUGGAAUUCCCAAAAUUCCCAAAGACGUCCCAAAAAAAAUUCCCAUGGAUUUCCUCAAAAAUCUCCAGUGGAAUUCCCAAAGAAUUCCCCAAAAAAUUCCCAUCAAAUUCCUCUAAAAAUUCCCAAAGAAUUCUCCAAAAAAUGCCUCUAAAAAUCCCCAUCGAAUUCCUCAAAAAAUUCCCGUGGAAUUCCCAAAGAGUUCCCAAAAAAAUUCCUCUAAAAAUUCCCACGGAUUUCCUCAAAAAACUCCCCUGGAAUUCCCAAAAAAAAUCCCAUGGAAUUCCCAAAAUUCAAAAAAAUUCCCCAAAAAGUUCCCAUCAAAUUCCUCUAAAAAUUCCCAAAGAACACCCAAAAAAAAAUCCCAAAAAAUUCCUCUAAAAAUUCUCAAAAAGUUCCUCAAAAAAUUCCCACGGAUUUCCUAAAAAAACUCCUGUCGAAUUCCCAAAAUUACUCUAAAAUUUCCCAAAAAAUGUUUCUAAAAAUUGCCAUCAAAUUCCUCUAAAAAUUCCCAAAGAAGUCCCAAAAAAAUUCCCAGC
ensembl:lncRNA